GCGGAUGAAGAGAGCUUGCUUUCUGAUUCAGCGGCGGACGGGUGAGUAAUGCCUAGGAAUCUGCCUGAUAGUGGGGGACAACGUUUCGAAAGGAACGCUAAUACCGCAUACGUCCUACGGGAGAAAGCAGGGGACCUUCGGGCCUUGCGCUAUCAGAUGAGCCUAGGUCGGAUUAGCUAGUUGGUGAGGUAACGGCUCACCAAGGCGACGAUCCGUAACUGGUCUGAGAGGAUGAUCAGUCACACUGGAACUGAGACACGGUCCAGACUCCUACGGGAGGCAGCAGUGGGGAAUAUUGGACAAUGGGCGAAAGCCUGAUCCAGCCAUGCCGCGUGUGUGAAGAAGGUCUUCGGAUUGUAAAGCACUUUAAGUUGGGAGGAAGGGCAUUAACCUAAUACGUUAGUGUUUUGACGUUACCGACAGAAUAAGCACCGGCUAACUUCGUGCCAGCAGCCGCGGUAAUACGAAGGGUGCAAGCGUUAAUCGGAAUUACUGGGCGUAAAGCGCGCGUAGGUGGUUUGUUAAGUUGAAUGUGAAAGCCCCGGGCUCAACCUGGGAACUGCAUCCAAAACUGGCAAGCUAGAGUAUGGCAGAGGGUGGUGGAAUUUCCUGUGUAGCGGUGAAAUGCGUAGAUAUAGGAAGGAACACCAGUGGCGAAGGCGACCACCUGGGCUAAUACUGACACUGAGGUGCGAAAGCGUGGGGGAGCAAACAGGAUUAGAUACCCUGGUAGUCCACGCCGUAAACGAUGUCGACUAGCCGUUGGGAUCCUUGAGAUCUUAGUGGCGCAGCUAACGCAUUAAGUCGACCGCCUGGGGAGUACGGCCGCAAGGUUAAAACUCAAAAUGAAUUGACGGGGGCCCGCACAAAGCGGUGGAAUCAUGUGGUUUAUUCGAAGC
rnacentral:rRNA from 1 species